UUGCUGUUACUCGAUCCACUACUGCUUUGAUUCAUAUGUUGUUCUGUCAACCAAAAAGCCAGAGCCUGUUUCUCGAACUCUCUCCUACGGCGGAACCACCGCCAUCAUCAGUUUUUUAGAUUCACACUCAAUUUUCCUCACAAGUCGAAUCUGCAACCACGAUGUCCAUGGGAAACAGGGAGUCUGAUCGGGGAAGUUCUUGAGCCAAUUCAGGGAAAUUGAGAUCGGUAGACGCACCUUUGAGGUCUAUAGCUGCUGCAUCCUAUGCUCGAGCUGCCAUUUCAGUUGUUGGGUAUGACUAAUUUCUUUCCUUUCUGGCCAAUUUUCGACACCCAAAGUUGUUAUCUUUCAAUUUCCCACAUGGCUCUUCUGGUUCCUCGAUUCCCUUCACUCCUCCUUUCCCCAUUCCUACUCCUCCACUCUCCUCUUUCUUUAUUCUUCUUAUUUCUUCUCUUUAAUUUUUAGUGCUUAUUUCUAUAAAGCUUUUGAAAAUAUUUUGGCUUAGGAUUUUGUUUGUUUUGUGUGAUUGUACUUGCAGAGCAAGGGGAAUGUUACCCCCAAUGAUUACUUAUAAAAAAUAAAAUAAAAUAAUAAUAAUAAUAAAAAAAAAAGAGCAAUUUGGUUCUGCUUCAAACCUACAACGACAACAAGGAGAAAUGAGUCGGCCGGAGGACUCUGAAAGAUAAUUGUUGUUGUUGCUGCUAUAGAUAUGCCGGCGGAGCCUGUGGAGGGAGAGUUUAGGCUUGGUUUGAGAAGUGGGAUAAUCCUCUGCAAUGCUAUCUAUAAAGUUCAAACUGGAGCUGUGCCCAAGUCAACAAAAAAUCUUCAUUGAAUACAUAAUGUUUGAUGGAGUGACUGAUGAAGAGCAACAUGCACACCUACUCGGG